rnacentral:rRNA from 1 species
AAAUUGCCAUGGAUACUGGGUUUCUUGAGUACAGAAGAGGUCGGUGGAAUUCGUAGUGUAGCGGUGAAAUGCAUAGAUAUUACGAAGAACAUCAGUGGCGAAGGCGGCCGGCUGGACUGUAACUGACACUGAGGCACGAAAGCGUGGGGAGCGAACAGGAUUAGAUACCCUGGUAGUCCACGCUGUAAACGAUGCAUACUAGUUGUUGGUCCUUUGGGGCCAGUGAUGCAGUUAACGCAGUAAGUAUGCCACCUGGGGAGUACGUUCGCAAGAAUGAAACUCAAAGGAAUUGACGGGGGCCCGCACAAGCGGUGGAGCAUGUGGCUUAAUUCGAUGCAACGCGAGGAACCUUACCUGGGCUAAAUCUACAGUGUUACCUCCCGAAAAGG